UGUCAAAUCGGAAGCUAACAGCGUGGCUAGGGCUAGUGGAACUUUGUUCCGUGUUCUUUUAAGCAAACAUGUUGUAAUAAACUGGCAGUACUGCGCAAAUUAUUGGAUCUUUUGCAAGGUUUGCACUACUUUGGCAAGUAACAAAGAGUGAAAAGUCGUUUAAAUUAAAUUCUACAGCACUUUAAGGCAUGGAACAACUUCAAGCUUUACUUGACACCACAACAGCUUAUUCUUCCAAUUUGUAAUUAAUUUUGAUUACGUGUCACAGCUGCAAUACUAUUCUUAUCUUGAAGCAAUACCAAACGCACAAAAGCCAAAUUCAGUAAAAGCGAUUGGCCUAGAAACUCACGUUGAUAGCGUCCUGAGCGCGAAAACAUUUCCCGAAGCGCUACAGGAAAGUAUACAUUGCCUUGAAGAGGUAAUGAUUGGUCUUUGGCAAGCCCUUCUUUUACCUCAUCCUCGAACAAAUCGUGUGCAUUGUAAUGUGUGCGCAUCAUAUGUAAAAUAGUUUCUUCAGAAGAAACACGUUCCGUACCAAUUAGUUGACUGAACAGACGGGCAGUGAGGAAGCGACCUUCGACAAGUUUCCCACGUGCGCAUAAUGUAUACGCCAUAAUAGCCGAUACUUGAGACUUUUGUAUGCUGAUGUUUUGCUGAUCCACGCUACCCGGAUUACUACUGACCUGUGCCAUUUGCGGAUUUUCGAAAAUAUAGCAAUCGGCUUUCGGUAUAAGGUAAUCAAUAUACAACAGUCGUUGUACCAAAUCA